UACGUAGGGGGCAAGCGUUGUCCGGAAUCAUUGGGCGUAAAGAGCGUGUAGGCGGCCCGAUAAGUCCGCUGUGAAAGUCCAGGGCUCAACCCUGGGAUGCCGGUGGAUACUGUCGGGCUCGAGUCCGGAAGAGGAGUGUGGGAAUUCCUGGUGUAGCGGUGAAUGCGCAGAUAUCAGGAGGAACACCAAUGGCGAAGGCAGCACUCUGGGACGUGACUGACGCUGAGACGCGAAAGCGUGGGGAGCAAACAGG
rnacentral:rRNA from 1 species